rnacentral:rRNA from 1 species
UACGUAGGGUGCAAGCGUUAAUCGGAAUUACUGGCGUAAAGCGUGCGCAGGCGGUGAUGUAAGACAGAUGUGAAAUCCCCGGGCUCAACCUGGGAACUGCAUUUGUGACUGCAUCGCUGGAGUGCGGCAGAGGGGGAUGGAAUUCCGCGUGUAGCAGUGAAAUGCGUAGAUAUGCGGAGGAACAGCCGAUGGCGAAGGCAAUCCCCGUGGCCUGCACCUGGACGCUCAUGCACGA